GGACGCGUGACAGUGAACACGCGCAGCCGUGAAGACGUUCUCGUUAGCUCGUUGGGCCCGCGCUUGUCUUCCCCCUGAGCCCCUCUGACCUGGCCGGUCCCUCCCUCUGCCUGGGCUGAGACAGAGCUCCCGGCGCUUCCAUGAGGACACUGGAGGAAGCACGGAGCCCCCUCUGCCUGGACGUCCAGGCAGCCCUGGGUUCAGAUUUCAGAAGAGUGGAUGUGCCUUCUGUAUCGUUUCAAGUUUUGGAGAAACUUCACCUUCAGUGUCUUUGGUGGUCUCCUGCCUCCCUCUGAAACUCAAGUUCAUACCUGGCUUGCCUGCCAACCUCAAGCAAGGACGAGUCACUCGUGGAACAGAGCCGUCCAGCCAAGCUGCUCCAACCCACCAGCCUGGAUCAACUAGCCCCCAGGCAACCCACGGACACGUCCAGGAGAUUGGCAGGUCACCCGAGGGGGUAAUCUCCUGUUACUGAUGGAGACGCAAAAUGCUGGUGCUGCAGAGGCAAGACGCAGCUUGGCACUGUUCUGCUUUUGGCUCCGAAACCGUAAGCUUGUUCCUUGCUAAGCUGUUUAUCUCUCCUCACCCCAUUCUCUCACAUGGUGUGAUCAGCGCUUUCGUGUAAAAUCUUUCUUUUCACUAUGCAGCACUAUUUAAAUAUCAGAGUAUAUGUGAUAUUUGGGAUUUAGCUAAACAACCAGGUUUUCUAUAUCAAUUUUAUUUGCUUGUCUCUGUAACCUCCCCUGCUAGGUGCCAGCACUGAAGAGACCUAUUCCGCUGCCUAGUCCCCAGGUGUCUCCUGAUUUGCUCAAGCCUAAACAAUAGGGAGGAAGGAUCCAUCAUUUUGUGCCUUUGUUUUUAUUGGAAUGAGGGCUUCCCUGGUGGCUCAGAUCAUAAAGAAUGCGCCUGCAGUGGGGGAGACCUGGAUUUGAUCCCUAGGUGGGGAAGAUCUCCUGGAGAAAAGCAUGGCAACCCACUCCAGUACUCUUGCCUGGAGAAUCCCAUGGACAGAGGAGCCUGGUGGGCUACAGUCCACGGGGUCGCUAAGCGCCGGUC
rnacentral:lncRNA from 1 species